GAAUGAGAUUCGGUCAGAGGGGGUAAAACCUCUCGGGCUGUCAACCUCCACCCUUGUGUAUUAUGCAAUUGUUGCUUUGGUGGGCCGCGACCCUUACGGGGAGCACCGGCUUCGGCUGGAGAGUGCCUGCCAGAGGACCCCAACUCUGUAUUUUGUAACAUCUGAGUACUAUAUAAUAGUUA
rnacentral:misc_RNA from 1 species